UCUUUGCUCAAUCCCCAGGUGGGGAAAUCUUCGUUGAGCAAUCACUGAUGUCUCUGGAAACACAUGGCUGACAACCAAUGGAGUCAGGAUUUGAACCCAGCAGUCAGCAGCUUUCCCCAACUCCUGACAGGCCCUGCUCUACAACCUGACAAAGCAGCUCCCACAACCUGCCGUAGAGUGUGCUGACCGAGAUACAAGCGGAGAUCCAGGACACUGGGGCUCAUGAUCCUAGCCCCUUCCCUUCCCGAGGAGACUGCUAAGCCCAUCAACAGUCUCUCGGUCCCCUCAUCUACAACAUCCAAAUGGGCUGGCAUUAGAUGAGGCCCUGAUUGUUGCUUACACAAGUUCUGCUGGGCCGUGAGGCCACCACAGACCCCACAUGUGACCCAAUCUGUACAAGAAAAGCUGGACAAGUGUACGAGGGAAGGCCUUCAAAAGCUGCUGAAUACCCAGCUCCAAUGGCGGUCACCGGGGAGAGAUCCAAGUUCAAGUCCAGUGCAGUGACUGAAGUCCCCUCCAUGUAAGGCCAUGUGGACCCCUCUGUCUUCAUAUCACUAUCAGAUUCUGUGUUGGCAGCCAGUGACAACCUGUCCUGCUGUCAGAUGGAGAUCUCUGCUUCCAACGGGGUGGUAGGGAACAGGGAUAUUUCAGGAAUCCUAGUUAGAAUUCUGCCUCCUAACAGGGAACCAGAGUGCUGUCAUGGCCGCAGUGCUAGACCAAGACUGUGAGCAGACUGGCUUCCCUUCACCGGCCCAUGAACUCAGAGAACAGGGGGGCACCAGCCAGGCCACGUGUCCCAGGCACUGCGGGUGACGUCUGGGAUGGAGUGGAAAGUCUGUGUCCUUCUCUCAGACUGAGAACAAAGUAAGACUGAAUGUGCGGUCCGAUGGGAUGAACAGUCCCCACUGUGCAUCUCAUGAACACGGACACCACCCAUGCCACACCCUGUGUUCUUCUUGGCUUGUGCCUAGGAGGGCUAGAGCCACAGCCUGCAUCAUCCCCCUGACAUACCUGGGACACCUACAGCUGACCUCUAUGACUCUACUCUGCUGGCCUUUCUCUUGCCAACCCUGAAUUCUCUGAGGCCUGCGUUCUCUCCCCAGUGACCCACCCACUUCCUCUUGGGAGACCAGCCGAGAACAGUGAGGCUUGAAGAACAUUUUAAUCCCAGCCCCAAAGAGAAAAUGACUACAAGCUCUGGAAUGCAGAGCCUGCUGCUUCCUGCAGGGCCUUCUGAAUGAAACACACGUAACCCACAGAGGCAGUGAGACAAGAGGCUACGGAGAGAUGCCACCCGGACUCCAAGCAGGCCGAUGAGCACAGCAAGCAAGCUCUUGACUUGGGCCUAAGCCCCAGUGCUCUGUUAGCCACCCUUCUCGCUCAGCUUCGAGGAACCAAACCCAGACACCAAGCACAUACAGAUUACUGUUGCUCCCUGUUCCCAGCACCUGAGUGGGUGGGGAAGAGGAGAAGACAUCCCCCACAUACCAUCCUCAAAGAGCACUGCAGAUCCCCCUCUCUGUUACCCCCAGAGCAGGUCACCAUGCUGCAACUCAGCUAGCUCACACCAUUUCAAGCAAAACACCAACGUGCUUCGACUGUCUCCGGGAAAAGUGGAGAUACACACUGGUCUUGAUGGUUCAGCUCCGUGACCUUGUUAGGUGCGUGCCCCAUCUGCAUAAGCACAGAAAGUCCCCUGGGGCCUCCUCUUACGGGCAUCUCCAUCCCUUUGAGUAACCACACGUACAGAUCUCUCUUGUGGUCAGUCAGUUAGCUUUGCCUGGCUUUGAACGCUACUCUCACGGGAUUGUGAGUAGUACGUGUAUGUGUUCCCGUGCCUGACUCCUGCUGCUGCCUACCUCAGACCUGCCUCUGGGCUUUCCAUGACCUGAGUGAGGAUCCUGCCUCCGCAUGGGACUUUGCCUCCCGUUCACCUUGACUUCCUUCUAGGACUGCAGCCACAACAUCCCCAGGUCCCUGCCUGUGCCUGAGUUCCUGUCGCAUAUCCUUGGCACGGAUCUUAAGGCCCCUGUCCUCACUCAGGAGGCCUUCCCAGUCUCCUCUCUCUGUGGAUUCCUCCAGGAGAAGAAUUAGACUCCCCAUGCUUCAAAGGUGUCACUGGGACAGCCCUCCUGCGCACUUUCUGCUGGGUAAUGUGAAGACUCCCAGCGUGAUUAUCCUAACAGAAGCCACCGGAAGAUAUACGAGCUUUUCCAUGAAGUCACUGUGUCAGAAGUCACUAUGUCACUUGCUACAUUUAGAGAACUUCUGGUGUACCCACAUCCCCAUCCAAGUAGAAAAAAGAGAACAGACAUGGUUUCUUUUCUUUUUUUUU
rnacentral:lncRNA from 1 species